rnacentral:rRNA from 1 species
UGCCCCACAGUUCCCCGUCCGGGAACAAGGAGCUGGUAUCAGGCACACUUUGUUGAGCCCAUAACACCUUGCUUAGCCACACCCUCAAGGGAACUCAGCAGUGAUAGACAUUAAGCCAUAAGUGAAAACUUGACUUAAUUAAAGCUAAGAGGGCCGGUAAAACUCGUGCCAGCCACCGCGGUUAUACGAGAGGCCCAAGUUGACAAACACCGGCGUAAAGAGUGGUUAAGUUAAAAUUUAUACUAAAGCCGAACAUCUUCAAGGCUGUUAUACGCAACCGAAGACAGGAAGUUCAACCACGAAGGUGGCUUUAUCUCAUCUGAACCCACGAAAGCUAAGGAACAAACUGGGAUUAGAUACCCCACUAUGCCUAGCCCUAAACAUUGAUAGUACUAUACACCCACUAUCCGCCCGGGAACUACGAGCAACAGCUUAAAACCCAAAGGACUUGGCGGUGCUUUAGAUCCACCUAGAGGAGCCUGUUCUAGAACCGAUAACCCCCGUUCAACCUCACCUCUUCUUGUUUAUUCCGUCUAUAUACCGCCGUCGUCAGCUUACCCUGUGAGGGAUUAAUAGUAAGCAAAACUGGUACAACCUAAAACGUCAGGUCGAGGUGUAGCGUAUGGAGGGGGAAGAAAUGGGCUACAUUCGCUAUCACAGCGAACACGAAUAGUGUAUUGAAACGUACACUUGAAGGAGGAUUUAGCAGUAAGYRG